rnacentral:rRNA from 1 species
AGCGUACACGGUGGAUGCCCUGGCAGUCAGAGGCGAUGAAGGACGUGCUAAUCUGCGAUAAGCGUCGGUAAGGUGAUAUGAACCGUUAUAACCGGCGAUUUCCGAAUGGGGAAACCCAGUGUGUUUCGACACACUAUCAUUAACUGAAUCCAUAGGUUAAUGAGGCGAACCGGGGGAACUGAAACAUCUAAGUACCCCGAGGAAAAGAAAUCAACCGAGAUUCCCCCAGUAGCGGCGAGCGAACGGGGAGCAGCCCAGAGCCUGAAUCAGUGUGUGUGUUAGUGGAAGCGUCUGGAAAGGCGUGCGAUACAGGGUGACAGCCCCGUACACAAAAAUGCACAUAUUGUGAGCUCGAUGAGUAGGGCGGGACACGUGGUAUCCUGUCUGAAUAUGGGGGGACCAUCCUCCAAGGCUAAAUACUCCUGACUGACCGAUAGUGAACCAGUACCGUGAGGGAAAGGCGAAAAGAACCCCGGCGAGGGGAGUGAAAAAGAACCUGAAACCGUGUACGUACAAGCAGUGGGAGCACGCUUAGGCGUGUGACUGCGUACCUUUUGUAUAAUGGGUCAGCGACUUAUAUUCUGUAGCAAGGUUAACCGAAUAGGGGAGCCGAAGGGAAACCGAGUCUUAACUGGGCGUUAAGUUGCAGGGUAUAGACCCGAAACCCGGUGAUCUAGCCAUGGGCAGGUUGAAGGUUGGGUAACACUAACUGGAGGACCGAACCGACUAAUGUUGAAAAAUUAGCGGAUGACUUGUGGCUGGGGGUGAAAGGCCAAUCAAACCGGGAGAUAGCUGGUUCUCCCCGAAAGCUAUUUAGGUAGCGCCUCGUGAAUUCAUCUCCGGGGGUAGAGCACUGUUUCGGCAAGGGGGUCAUCCCGACUUACCAACCCGAUGCAAACUGCGAAUACCGGAGAAUGUUAUCACGGGAGACACACGGCGGGUGCUAACGUCCGUCGUGAAGAGGGAAACAACCCAGACCGCCAGCUAAGGUCCCAAAGUCAUGGUUAAGUGGGAAACGAUGUGGGAAGGCCCAGACAGCCAGGAUGUUGGCUUAGAAGCAGCCAUCAUUUAAAGAAAGCGUAAUAGCUCACUGGUCGAGUCGGCCUGCGCGGAAGAUGUAACGGGGCUAAACCAUGCACCGAAGCUGCGGCAGCGACGCUUAUGCGUUGUUGGGUAGGGGAGCGUUCUGUAAGCCUGUGAAGGUGUGCUGUGAGGCAUGCUGGAGGUAUCAGAAGUGCGAAUGCUGACAUAAGUAACGAUAAAGCGGGUGAAAAGCCCGCUCGCCGGAAGACCAAGGGUUCCUGUCCAACGUUAAUCGGGGCAGGGUGAGUCGACCCCUAAGGCGAGGCCGAAAGGCGUAGUCGAUGGGAAACAGGUUAAUAUUCCUGUACUUGGUGUUACUGCGAAGGGGGGACGGAGAAGGCUAUGUUGGCCGGGCGACGGUUGUCCCGGUUUAAGCGUGUAGGCUGGUUUUCCAGGCAAAUCCGGAAAAUCAAGGCUGAGGCGUGAUGACGAGGCACUACGGUGCUGAAGCAACAAAUGCCCUGCUUCCAGGAAAAGCCUCUAAGCAUCAGGUAACAUCAAAUCGUACCCCAAACCGACACAGGUGGUCAGGUAGAGAAUACCAAGGCGCUUGAGAGAACUCGGGUGAAGGAACUAGGCAAAAUGGUGCCGUAACUUCGGGAGAAGGCACGCUGAUAUGUAGGUGAAGUCCCUUGCGGAUGGAGCUGAAAUCAGUCGAAGAUACCAGCUGGCUGCAACUGUUUAUUAAAAACACAGCACUGUGCAAACACGAAAGUGGACGUAUACGGUGUGACGCCUGCCCGGUGCCGGAAGGUUAAUUGAUGGGGUCAGCGCAAGCGAAGCUCUUGAUCGAAGCCCCGGUAAACGGCGGCCGUAACUAUAACGGUCCUAAGGUAGCGAAAUUCCUUGUCGGGUAAGUUCCGACCUGCACGAAUGGCGUAAUGAUGGCCAGGCUGUCUCCACCCGAGACUCAGUGAAAUUGAACUCGCUGUGAAGAUGCAGUGUACCCGCGGCAAGACGGAAAGACCCCGUGAACCUUUACUAUAGCUUGACACUGAACAUUGAGCCUUGAUGUGUAGGAUAGGUGGGAGGCUUUGAAGUGUGGACGCCAGUCUGCAUGGAGCCGACCUUGAAAUACCACCCUUUAAUGUUUGAUGUUCUAACGUGGACCCGUGAUCCGGGUUGCGGACAGUGUCUGGUGGGUAGUUUGACUGGGGCGGUCUCCUCCUAAAGAGUAACGGAGGAGCACGAAGGUUGGCUAAUCCUGGUCGGACAUCAGGAGGUUAGUGCAAUGGCAUAAGCCAGCUUGACUGCGAGCGUGACGGCGCGAGCAGGUGCGAAAGCAGGUCAUAGUGAUCCGGUGGUUCUGAAUGGAAGGGCCAUCGCUCAACGGAUAAAAGGUACUCCGGGGAUAACAGGCUGAUACCGCCCAAGAGUUCAUAUCGACGGCGGUGUUUGGCACCUCGAUGUCGGCUCAUCACAUCCUGGGGCUGAAGUAGGUCCCAAGGGUAUGGCUGUUCGCCAUUUAAAGUGGUACGCGAGCUGGGUUUAGAACGUCGUGAGACAGUUCGGUCCCUAUCUGCCGUGGGCGCUGGAGAACUGAGGGGGGCUGCUCCUAGUACGAGAGGACCGGAGUGGACGCAUCACUGGUGUUCGGGUUGUCAUGCCAAUGGCACUGCCCGGUAGCUAAAUGCGGAAGAGAUAAGUGCUGAAAGCAUCUAAGCACGAAACUUGCCCCGAGAUGAGUUCU